CUUGGCCUUUUCAGUGGGAUGCUAGAAUCACAGGAAUUAGGGAUGAAAAUGAUCAAUUGCUUUUGCAUUUACAUUUUUAUACCCAUGGUCAGCACCUUCCUAACAGUGUGGCUGAAUAAAAAAGGAUAGGUAGACCCACAGCCUCCGCUACAGAUAAUCAACUACCUACAGACCUAAGAGUGGGCGUGUGCUUUAUUGAGAAGGAUUACCUGAUGGAUGUCACUAUCGUCUCAUUUUAAAUUCAGUCUCUUUUAGUUCAGCAUGUAUCCAUUGAUUUUGUUUUGGUUCAAAUCUGCUAAAAAAUAAGAUAAACAACCACGAAUUCCUCAUUUGUAACCAUUUAUGUGUAUGGGAAGUGACUUAUGGAUCUUCUAAUUGAACAGUCAUCGCUCACUCUUUAUCAGACAUGCCCUGCUAUUUACCAUUGUCCAGGUUCCUGACCUGAUGUCCAGCUGUGAGCAACUCUGCAGACAAGGGUGCUGCUUCUGAUGUUAGAGCAACCAUAUAUCAAAUGCCUGUAUACAGACCAAACAGAAACUUCAGACUCUGCAGUCGUUGGCACCAGUUUGAAUACUGCAUAACAAAUGGAAGCUGCAUUCCCUUAUGCAGAGAAAGAGAAUUUGAUGAACAAUUGUGAGAAUUGCGGAGAGAAUUACUCCAAUCCCCGGAUUCAGGAAACAAACUUGAUGAAGUAUAUUUAGAGUAAAGUGGAUCCAUUGGAACAAUGUAACUCAAAAAUGAAAGACUUCAUCUCUUAUCUACUUUGCAUCUAUGAAACACAAGACCGAAAAAAAAAGAAGAAAAUUAUUACCUCAUUGCAGAUGCUAUUAAUGGAAACUCAAGGAAAUUUGUCUACAAUUCCACAUAAAAUUGAAUGAAAGAGAUAUCUGACCUUUUUAUCUCACCUCCACUGUUCAACAUUAAUUGCCAUUUGUGGAUUCCCUACACUGCUCUCCAUGCCUAUACAAUGUUUACAAUAAAGACACGUGUAAAAGAAAAAAAAAGAAACACUUCAGCUUAUGUUGCUAGAAAGAUUUGUCAACAAGGAGAAAAGUUUCUGAGAAGCAAAUGCAAGAACUGUCAAUCUUCC
rnacentral:lncRNA from 1 species